rnacentral:rRNA from 1 species
UACGUAGGGGGCUAGCGUUGUCCGGAAUCAUUGGGCGUAAAGCGCGCGUAGGCGGCCAGAUAAGUCCGGUGUGAAAGUCACAGGCUCAACCUGUGAAUGCCGCUGGAAACUGUCUGGCUUGAGUCCGGAAGGGGCGAGUGGAAUUCCUGGUGUAGCGGUGAAAUGCGCAGAUAUCGGGAAGAACACCUAUGGCGAAGGCAGCUCUCUGGGACGGUACUGACGCUGAGACGCGAAAGCGUGGGGAGCGAACAGG